rnacentral:lncRNA from 1 species
CUCAAGGGUCUUCUCACACUUAAUAACCUCUUCGAUCCAGUGGCAGCCUUGGACUAUCUCUCCCCCAGACAGUUGGCUGAGCUGGUUGUUCUUCCUGACCUUCCCAACAGAGAUGAGGCCAUCCACAAAGUGUUUGACACCUUGACACAACCUCCGCGUGCCACAGACCUCCCUGAGUUCCUCCGCCAUCUUAUGAUGCUCUCUGAAGAGGUGAUGGUUCCAUGUGACUCAUAUAGAACCAUCUUUGGGAGGCUCUAUCUGGCCUUGUCAUCUGUUCCCGGCGAGACUGAGCCGCUGGUCUGGGCAGCCAUACGCAAACUGAUGCAGACCGCUCCAGCA